rnacentral:rRNA from 1 species
UACGGAGGGUGCAAGCGUUAUCCGGAAUCACUGGGUUUAAAGGGUGCGUAGGCGGCGCUAUAAGUCAGAGGUGAAAGGCCACAGCUUAACUGUGGGACUGCCUUUGAUACUGUAGUGCUUGAAUUAGGUUGAGGUCGGCGGAAUGUGACAUGUAGCGGUGAAAUGCUUAGAUAUGUCAUAGAACACCAAUUGCGAAGGCAGCUGACUAGACCUUAAUUGACGCUGAGGCACGAAAGCGUGGGGAGCGAAC